CAUNCAAGUCGAGCGCCUCGCAAGAGGAGCGGCAGACGGGUGAGUAACGCGUGGGAAUCUACCCAUCCCUACGGAACAACUCCGGGAAACUGGAGCUAAUACCGUAUACGCCCUUCGGGGGAAAGAUUUAUCGGGNAUGGAUGAGCCCGCGUUGGAUUAGCUAGUUGGUGGGGUAAAGGCCUACCAAGGCGACGAUCCAUAGCUGGUCUGAGAGGAUGAUCAGCCACAUUGGGACUGAGACACGGCCCAAACUCCUACGG
rnacentral:rRNA from 1 species